rnacentral:rRNA from 1 species
AACGAACGCUGGCGGCAUGCCUAACACAUGCAAGUCGAACGAGGCCUUCGGGUCUAGUGGCGCACGGGUGCGUAACGCGUGGGAAUCUGCCCUUGGGUUCGGAAUAACAGUUGGAAACGACUGCUAAUACCGGAUGAUGACGUAAGUCCAAAGAUUUAUCGCCCAGGGAUGAGCCCGCGUAGGAUUAGCUAGUUGGUGGGGUAAAGGCCUACCAAGGCGACGAUCCUUAGCUGGUCUGAGAGGAUGAUCAGCCACACUGGGACUGAGACACGGCCCAGACUCCUACGGGAGGCAGCAGUGGGGAAUAUUGGACGAUGGGCGAAAGCCUGAUCCAGCAAUGCCGCGUGAGUGAUGAAGGCCUUAGGGUUGUAAAGCUCUUUUACCCGGGAUGAUAAUGACGGUACCGGGAGAAUAAGCCCCGGCUAACUCCGUG